rnacentral:rRNA from 1 species
ACUACGGGUGGCCGCAGUAGGGAAUUUUCGUCAAUGGGCGCAAGCCUGAACGAGCGAUGCCGCGUGAGUGAAGAAGGCCUUCGGGUCGUAAAGCUCUGUUUCGGGGGAAAAAAGGCAGCAUCAGGAAAUGGGUGCUGACUGAUGGUGCCCCGCCAGAAAGUCACGACUAACUACGUCCCAGCAGCCGCGGUUAUACGUAGGUGGCGAGCGUUAUCCGGAAUGAUUGGGCGUAAAGGGUGCGCAGGCGGUCCUGCAAGUCUGGAGGGAAACGCAUGAGCUCAACUCAUGCAUGUCUUUGGAAACUGGAGGACUGGAGAGCAGGAGAGGGCGGUGGAACUCCAGGUGUAGCGGUAAAAUGCGUAGAUAUAUGGAAGAACAUCAGUGGCGAAGGCGGCCGCCUGGCCUGUUAACUGACGCUGAGGCACGAAAGCGUGGGGAGCAAAUAGGAUUAGAUACCCCGGUAGUC